GGCCAGCAUAACACAAAUGUCUAAAUUAUACACAUUUAUCUGGGAUGAAAUGGCUGCUUCAAAGAAGAAAGUUUUAGAGGCACUGCUUUCCGUUUCAUUUAUUUUUGUUCCAUAUGAAUCUGGUUCAAGGCACGAGGAUCUAGUGUCCGGUGUAUUCUUGUCUUCUGAAGAAGUUUAUUGGCAUGAUCCAACUGGUUCUAUCAACAACAUGAAGGAGGUUCAUCCUCAAUGUGGUUUGACAGGUGUGCCUCAGCGGCCCUUAAGCAAGACGUUGUGCAAUGUUUAUUCAGGACUUCAUGACUUUUUUGUUAAAGAGUGUGGAGUACACGAGAUCCCUUCUUGCCGUAGCUAUUUUGAUAUUUUACGUCAGUUAUCAACUGUUGCUUUGCCUUCACAGGCAGCUAGUACAG
rnacentral:misc_RNA from 1 species